rnacentral:rRNA from 1 species
GUGGGGAAUAUUGGGCAAUGGGCGAAAGCCUGACCCAGCAACGCCGCGUGAAGGAAGAAGGUUUUCGGAUCGUAAACUUCUAUCCUUGGUGAAGAUAAUGACGGUAGCCAAGAAGGAAGCCCCGGCUAACUACGUGCCAGCAGCCGCGGUACUACGUAGGGGGCAAGCGUUGUCCGGAAUGAUUGGGCGUAAAGGGCGCGUAGGCGGCCCGGUAAGUCUGAAGGGAAAGUCCUGCUUUUAAGGUGGGAAUUGCUUUGGAUACUGUCGGGCUUGAGUGCAGGAGAGGUAAGCGGAAGUCCCGGUGGAGCGGUGAAAUGCGUAGAGAUCGGGAGGAACACCAGUGGCGAAGGCGGCUUACUGGACUGUAACUGACGCUGAGGCGCGAAAGUGUGGGGAGCAAACAGGAUUAGAUACCCGUGUAGUCC